GACGAACGCUGGCGGCGUGCUUAACACAUGCAAGUCGAACGGAAAGGCCCUGCUUUUGUGGGGUGCUCGAGUGGCGAACGGGUGAGUAACACGUGAGUAACCUGCCCUUGACUUUGGGAUAACUUCAGGAAACUGGGGCUAAUACCGGAUAGGAGCUCCUGCUGCAUGGUGGGGGUUGGAAAGUUUCGGCGGUUGGGGAUGGACUCGCGGCUUAUCAGCUUGUUGGUGGGGUAGUGGCUUACCAAGGCUUUGACGGGUAGCCGGCCUGAGAGGGUGACCGGCCACAUGGGGAAGGGUAUCGCCCCCAGCCCCCGCGGGGGGGAGAGAGGGGGAAAUAUUGCACAGGGGGCGGAGGCCUGAGGCAGCACCGCCGGGUGGGGGAGGGGGGCUUGGGGUUUUUAACCGCUUUCCGCCUGGGACGAAGGGGGAGGGAGGGUAUGGGAUAAAAAACCCCCGGCUAACUAGGUC
rnacentral:rRNA from 1 species